rnacentral:lncRNA from 1 species
UUCCCUGUGUUGUCUUUAUCUCCCCCACUUCUAUAUUUUACACACACACCUGUGCCUCAUUAUAUGAAGACCCAGGACAAAUUCAUCAGAUGAAGUGACAAGUGAGCCAGAUUUGGGAUGAUCCAAGGAAGUUAUGGGUGGCGGAGGAGAUCCAGGAGAGGUUAAUGGAAGAUGUGGGACUGAAUUGAGUCUUGCUAGUCAAAGAUAAUUUGGCUGAAGAAGAGGAUGGCAUUCUGGCAAGAAUAAAGAUGAGGAGAAGGAAUGCGCACCACAUAAUUUAGAACAGAGUCCAGACUGACCUGAAUGGAAAGCAAGCUGCAGAUAGGAAGACUGUGUGCACAUAGAUAAUUGGACAAGAUCCUCAUUUUGCAGAUGAUGCCGUGAGAGUAUGAAGGAGCGGUAUUAAAUCCAGCAGGAAACCUCAGUAAAGGUGGUUUUAGAACAUAGUCUGGAAGAAUAGGAGUUGGCCAGGCAAAGAAGAGAGUGAAGGGUAUAUAAAGACGUCUCAGAUAAAUGGAACAGCAUGAACAAAGGCAUGGAAGCAUGAAACAACAUGGAUUAUUCUGGAAAUCACAAACAUGUGAGUAUUACUGGUUAUAAAAUGGAAGGAGAUGAGAGAUGGGAGAUGAGGCUGGCUGGGGAGAAGCCCUGUCAUGUGGCACUAUUCAUCAUGCCACUGUCAGGAAGCCAACAAAGCAGGGUAACCCAAGAUACAUGAUUAGAUUUGAA